rnacentral:rRNA from 1 species
CUCGUUUAGAUUGAAGGAGCUUGCUCCUGAUUGAUAAACAUUUGAGUGAGUGGCGGACGGGUGAGUAACACGUGGGUAACCUGCCCUAAAGUGGGGGAUAACAUUUGGAAACAGAUGCUAAUACCGCAUAAAACCUAACACCGCAUGGUGUAGGGUUGAAAGAUGGUUUCGGCUAUCACUUUAGGAUGGACCCGCGGUGCAUUAGUUAGUUGGUGAGGUAAAGGCUCACCAAGACCGUGAUGCAUAGCCGACCUGAGAGGGUAAUCGGCCACACUGGGACUGAGACACGGCCCAGACUCCUACGGGAGGCAGCAGUAGGGAAUCUUCCACAAUGGACGAAAGUCUGAUGGAGCAACGCCGCGUGAGUGAAGAAGGUUUUCGGAUCGUAAAACUCUGUUGUUGGAGAAGAAUGUAUCUGAUAGUAACUGAUCAGGUAGUGACGGUAUCCAACCAGAAAGCCACGGCUAACUACGUGCCAGCAGCCGCGGUAAUACGUAGGUGGCAAGCGUUGUCCGGAUUUAUUGGGCGUAAAGCGAGCGCAGGCGGUUUCUUAAGUCUGAUGUGAAAGCCUUCGGCUCAACCGAAGAAGUGCAUCGGAAACUGGGAAACUUGAGUGCAGAAGAGGACAGUGGAACUCCAUGUGUAGCGGUGAAAUGCGUAGAUAUAUGGAAGAACACCAGUGGCGAAGGCGGCUGUCUGGUCUGUAACUGACGCUGAGGCUCGAAAGCAUGG